rnacentral:rRNA from 1 species
CCUACGGGUGGCAGCAGUGGGGAAUAUUGGACAAUGGGGGGAACCCUGAUCCAGCCAUGCCGCGUGUGUGAAGAAGGCCCUCGGGUUGUAAAGCACUUUCAGUGAGGAAGAACGCCUGGUGGUUAAUACCCAUCAGGAAAGACAUCACUCACAGAAGAAGCACCGGCUAACUCCGUGCCAGCAGCCGCGGUAAUACGGAGGGUGCGAGCGUUAAUCGGAAUUACUGGGCGUAAAGCGCGCGUAGGUGGCUUGAUAAGCCGGUUGUGAAAGCCCCGGGCUCAACCUGGGAACGGCAUCCUGAACUGUCAAGCUAGAGUGCAGGAGAGGAAGGUAGAAUUCCCGGUGUAGCGGUGAAAUGCGUAGAGAUCGGGAGGAAUACCAGUGGCGAAGGCGGCCUUCUGGACUGACACUGACACUGAGGUGCGAAAGCGUGGGUAGCAAACAGGAUUAGAUACCCUAGUAGUC